CGCACGGUCAUUGGCUUCAACAGUGGUUGGGUUCAGAGGGAGGGGAUCGGGUUAAGGGUUGGGAAGAGGAACGGAAUGUGGGUUGAAAAGAUUUAGGGUUGCCGAUUAAGAAAUAAAAUAAAAUUUAGGGAUAGUGAUUUGGGGUUGGACAAGUUAGGGUUUGUGGUUAGGGAUUGGACAGAUUUAGGGAUUUUUGGUUAUAUUGUAGUUAAAUCUGGGGCUUUUGUAGACAUUGAUUAACGGCUUUACACUCAACAUCGGAGCUCUCGAUUAAGGGCACUAGAUUUCCUGUUUACUUCAUGUUCUUACGCUGGGUUUAGAUUGUGCAACUAAGCGGUUUCUUACUCAGUUUUUUUAGGAUGGGUUAUGCUUCUGUUUCUACAAAGUAUGUGAUUUGAUAAUUUUCAUGGUUUUACAGAAAGAGAAAUAGGAUACACCAAAAGAAAAAGGGUCCAAACCUGUCUUGUGGAGGCGGGAGUGUGGAGAUCAUCGAGAGGCAAAAGGAGGAAUACUAAGAUACCCACUAAGGUUGGUGAGGUUAUUGGUGAUUUGGGAGUUGAGGAUCCUGAGCUUGCUAUUGAAUUGUUUUAUUUGCUUAAGAAUGAGCAUGGGUUGAGGAAGUGCUCACAACUGGUCUGUAUACCUAGCUAUCACUACCAGAAAAAGGGAAUUGUGUGAAUUUGGGAAUAGAACUCCCUAUG